CAGUCGCCACGGGAAUACGAAGGGGGCUAGCGUUGUUCGGAUUUACUGGGCGUAAAGCGCACGUAGGCGGAUCGAUCAGUCAGGGGUGAAAUCCCAGAGCUCAACUCUGGAACUGCCUUUGAUACUGUCGAUCUGGAGUAUGGAAGAGGUGAGUGGAAUUCCGAGUGUAGAGGUGAAAUUCGUAGAUAUUCGGAGGAACACCAGUGGCGAAGGCGGCUCACUGGUCCAUUACUGACGCUGAGGUGCGAAAGCGUGGGGAGCAAACAGGAUUAGAUACCCGCGUAGUCCCUGUCUCUUAUAC
rnacentral:rRNA from 1 species